GGCGCGUUCGUCUAGUGGCCCAGGAUACCGCCCUCUCAAGGCGGAGAGCGCGGGUUCGAAUCCCGCACGCGCCACCA
rnacentral:tRNA from 1 species